AGAGUUUGAUCAUGGCUCAGAUUGAACGCUGGCGGCAUGCCUUACACAUGCAAGUCGAACGGUAACGCGGGGCAACCUGGCGACGAGUGGCGAACGGGUGAGUAAUGCAUCGGAACGUGCCCAGUAGUGGGGGAUAGCCCGGCGAAAGCCGGAUUAAUACCGCAUACGACCUACGGGUGAAAGGGGGGGAUCGCAAGACCUCUCGCUAUUGGAGCGGCCGAUGUCAGAUUAGGUAGUUGGUGGGGUAAAGGCCUACCAAGCCGACGAUCUGUAGCUGGUCUGAGAGGACGACCAGCCACACUGGGACUGAGACACGGCCCAGACUCCUACGGGAGGCAGCAGUGGGGAAUUUUGGACAAUGGGCGCAAGCCUGAUCCAGCCAUGCCGCGUGCGGGAAGAAGGCCUUCGGGUUGUAAACCGCUUUUGUCAGGGAAGAAACGCUCUGGGUUAAUACCUCGGGGUAAUGACGGUACCUGAAGAAUAAGCACCGGCUAACUACGUGCCAGCAGCCGCGGUAAUACGUAGGGUGCAAGCGUUAAUCGGAAUUACUGGGCGUAAAGCGUGCGCAGGCGGUUUUGUAAGACAGAGGUGAAAUCCCCGGGCUUAACCUGGGAACUGCCUUUGUGACUGCAAGGCUUGAGUGCGGCAGAGGGGGAUGGAAUUCCGCGUGUAGCAGUGAAAUGCGUAGAUAUGCGGAGGAACACCGAUGGCGAAGGCAAUCCCCUGGGCCUGCACUGACGCUCAUGCACGAAA
rnacentral:rRNA from 1 species